CCUGGCCCACGCGUGUCCCCGGCAUCAGUGUCUCGGCUCUGGUCCAGGACGAAGACUUCUGAAAGCGAGCCAAGGAGAAUCGCAGUUCUUAACGGAGCCCCUGACUGCCGGUGGAACUGCCCUGUGGAAGGAGGUGAUUUAGAAGACAGUGAGCUACUGUUCCCAUCGAGAUGCAAAGGACACAGAGCUCACGGGUGCUCCAGCAAUGCUGGUGUCAUGUUUGGAGGUAGCUGUCUAUGGACUACAGUAUUCUCCCAGUGCCAGUCUGCAGUCACUGCAAAGCCUCCCAAUAGAACAUUUCUUCCUGAGCCAAUCUAUCAGUGUAGCUCAGACUCUGGAAGCAAAUGACCUCUCCUGGCAGAGCCUUCACUGUGUGGGGAACAUCAGAUUUGUGUAAAGAAGAUCACCUGUCUCUUCUCAGGUGUGCACUGUAGAGAAGCUGCUGCGAAGGCCACAGGUCACUCAGGAAAAGUUGGGGCAGUUUCCUAGGUUCAAGGGAGACUGGACAUCAAAGCUGCACUGGGACAUCUGGACGCCUUGAUCCACUUUGGCCAUUCCACCUCAGCUCAGAAUUACUCACUGGUGUCAGUGUGAUUAAUUUCACUUUCAGUGCCUUCCUUCCCGAGUGGAGUGCUUCUGUAGAGACUCCUAAUUCAGUGAGACCUGCCCAGGGAUCAUCCCUGCUAGACAGACAGCUGCGAGAGGCCAGUGGCUUCCCAGCAUGGAUUUCACAUUAUGGCCAAUCAAGA
rnacentral:lncRNA from 1 species